CCAUGUUUGAAGCCUUCUAUAUAGAAUGUUCUAAUUCAUACUGAACUGUUAUUCCUGAGAUGACAAUGGUUUCAGGGUAUUAUUUGAACUGAUAUGGGGGGCUACUUCAGAUUCCUUUUCAGCAAAAUAUGGGAACUCCAUUUUCUUGCAAGGUAAAAAAGAUACAAUUGCAUCAUUCUGAAUUUUUUCCGCACAUGUAUAUUACGGAAAGGAUGCACACAUGUUUUCCUUAUUCUGUGAUCUCCUGCGAUCAUCGAUUCACAAAGAAAUCUCCUGUGAUCAUUGCUAAUUGUCAUUUUUUUUCAAAAUUUUGGGUCAUAGAUUAUAUUGCUAAUUUUUAUUCAUCAAAUUCCUGUUCAAUCAAAGACAUUUGUGAUUCAGAACAUCGAGAGUUUAGAGGGUUAGAGCUCAGAAGUACUAGCAGACUGCCAAUGUAUUCAGUCAAAGGCAUUUUAUUAUGUAUCUUCUUUACAUGUCUGCCAGGGUAACCAUAGCAUCUACAUUGCUUUAUGCCUGAAACUGAGAGCUUUGGAACAGUGCUAUGCGCUAUUGGACA
rnacentral:lncRNA from 1 species